AAUCAACGCUGGCGGCGUGCCUCAGACAUGCAAGUCGAACGAUUAAAGCUCUCUUCGGAGAGUGUAUAGAGUGGCGCACGGGUGAGUAACACGUAAGUAAUCUACCUUCGAGUGGGGAAUAACGUCCGGAAACGGACGCUAAUACCGCAUAAUGCAGCGGCAUCGCAAGAUGACAGUUGUUAAAGAUUUAUCGCUUGAAGAGGAGCUUGCGGCAGAUUAGCUAGUUGGUAAGGUAACGGCUUACCAAGGCUACGAUCUGUAUCCGGUCUAAGAGGACGGUCGGACACACUGACACUGAAUAACGGGUCAGACUCCUACGGGAGGCAGCAGUCGGGAAUUUUGGGCAAUGGGCGAAAGCCUGACCCAGCAACGCCGCGUGAAGGAUGAAGUAUUUCGGUAUGUAAACUUCGAAAGAAUAGGAAGAAUUAAUGACGGUACUAUUUAUAAGGUCCGGCUAACUACGUGCCA
rnacentral:rRNA from 1 species